AUUCAAGAUGGAGACGCCCUGGUUCAGACGCCUCUGACAGAUGCUCCAAGAUGAUGUGAAGAACCACAUUGUGACCAGUAUGGAGGUGCUGUACAUAUUUGGUCAAUGUGCCUUUUGUCAAUGAAAUAUGCCCACUCUGUAUUGUGCCGAUCAGGAACUCACUCCUUCCUGCUCUUUCUGGGCUGGUUUUGGCGGAUUUCUUCCAGUGAGAGCAUUGGAGACCAGAAGUUUUUUGAAUUGCAUCUCUAAUGACCUAUCAGAUCAGAAGACUGGUAAACCUGGAGCCUCAUCCCAAGAGGUGAUGGUGUCUGGGUUUAUUAUGGAUCGCAGGAUGUAACUAUCAAUCUGGAGCUUUAGGGGGAAGAAGAAAGAAUAUUUUGAACCACACCAGGAGAAUUACCCUAGAGAAUAUAAGUUCACCUGCCAAAAUGGGAGGCUGGCAUCUUUUUGCUCUAUGAGAAGGCUGCUGAGCUAACAGGUCUGCCUUGGCAUAAAUGUCUAGAAGAGCAUGUGUCUCCUGGAGUAUGGGGACAUUUGUGUUUCCAUAAAUUGGCAGCUGCUUCUGGUUAGAGACUUCUAAAAGGUCUGGAAUACUGGAAUACUGGUAUAGUCCAAAAGGGGAAGAUGAAAAGGAGCCGUGGAACAUUGUACCAGGAAGAAGAUGGGACAUUACUCUCCGCAUGCCCUGGAGCUUUCGGAAGACGUAUAAGAGGAUCUUAGUUUCCAUAGCUCCACAUGAAAGAGCAAGCAGGGCUGCUGAUGUCCACUGUGGGCUCCAAGUGAGGGACUGGCCCAUGGGCAGGAGGUGAGGGAGACUUACUUGCUUUUCUCUGAGCUGGUCCACAGGAGCAGAGGAGACUGGGGUGAGCCUCACUCCAGAAUACUUGUAGAGUAUGUGACACCGGUUACCAACCUUGGCUCCACAAAAAUUACCUGUGAACCUUCUAAAAUACACAUAAGAAAUUCUUACUGAAUUGAACUGGGACGAGAUUCCACGUAUCAGGAUUCUGUAAAAGCUCCCCCAGUGACUCAAGAUGAAGUCCGGGUUGAAGACCAGUGAUAUGCAGGAAAUGUGUCCUGUGAUUUGAAACCACAUUCCAUUUGUCAAGCAAGACACUACGGCCACAUAAUGGAGAUCUACUUCCAUAUGAACCAGUGGAUUUCACUCUGCUUAAUGGAAGUGCCUUAGACUACUUCUCAAACCUCAGUCCACGUCAGAAUCACCAAAGGGCCUGAUGCAUCCCAGAUUCCAGUCCCUUCUCUCCAUCCCAGACAUUCUGCUGAGUGCAUCCUCUGGGCUUGCUGGUGUUCAGGAUCAUGGAAAAGCCAGAAGUGACUGUGUAUGAACUGAUGGCAAGAUGUGGUCUUUGCAUCAGGAAGCAGGUAAACGAGGUACUAUUGACUACUAAAGCAGUGCUCCAAGUACUGUGAUUCUCUCAGGGUAACCUCAGCCUUCUAACAGUGGCAACUUGGAAGUACUAGACAUUUUAUCAGCUUUGUGCUCUCUGACAACAGA
rnacentral:lncRNA from 1 species